UACGUAGGGCGCAAGCGUUGUCCGGAAUUAUUGGGCGUAAAGAGCUCGUAGGCGGUUUGUCGCGUCUGCUGUGAAAAACCUAAGGCUCAACCUUGGGCUUGCAGUGGGUACGGGCAGACUAGAGUGCGGUAGGGGUGACUGGAAUUCCUGGUGUAGCGGUGGAAUGCGCAGAUAUCAGGAGGAACACCGAUGGCGAAGGCAGGUCUCUGGGCCAUUACUGACACUGAGGAGCGAAAGCGUGGGGAGCGAACAGG
rnacentral:rRNA from 1 species